rnacentral:rRNA from 1 species
GAUUGAGACUAAGCCAUGCGAGUCAACCCGCAAGGGUGGCGGACGGCUCAGUAACACGUAGUCAACCUGCCCUAGGGACGUGGAUAACCACGGGAAACUGUGGAUAAACCGCGGUAGGUCAUUGUUUCUGGAAUGGGCAAUGGCUUAAAUCUAUAUGGCCCUAGGAUGGGACUACGGACGAUCAGGUUGUUGGCGGGGUAAUGGCCCACCAAGCCUAUAACCGGUACGGGCUCUGAGAGGAGGAGCCCGGAGAUGGGCACUGAGACAAGGGCCCAGGUCCUAUGGGACGCAGCAGGCGCGAAACCUUCGCAAUAGGCGAAAGCCUGACGAGGUUAAUCCGAGUGUUUUCUGCUAAAGGAAUCUUUUAUCAGCUCUAGAUAGGCUGAUGAAUAAGGGGUGGGCAAGCCUGGUGUCAGCCGCCGCGGUAAUACCAGCACCCCGAGUGGUCGGGAUGAUUAUUGGGCCUAAAGCAUCCGUAGCCGGUCCUACAAGUUUUUCGUUAAAUCCACCUGCUUAACAGUUGGGCUGCGGGAGAUACUGUAGGACUAGGAGGCGGGAGAGGCGAGGGGUAUUCCUU